AACGAACGCUGGCGGCAUGCCUAACACAUGCAAGUCGAACGAGACCUUCGGGUCUAGUGGCGCACGGGUGCGUAACGCGUGGGAACCUGCCUUUAGGUUCGGAAUAACUCAGAGAAAUUUGAGCUAAUACCGGAUAAUGUCUUCGGACCAAAGAUUUAUCGCCUUUAGAUGGGCCCGCGUAAGAUUAGCUAGUUGGUGGGGUAAAGGCCUACCAAGGCGACGAUCUUUAGCUGGUCUGAGAGGAUGAUCAGCCACACUGGGACUGAGACACGGCCCAGACUCCUACGGGAGGCAGCAGUGGGGGAAUAUUGGACAAUGGGCGAAAGCCUGAUCCAGCAAUGCCGCGUGAGUGAUGAAGGCCUUAGGGUUGUAAAGCUCUUUGUCCAGGGAAGGAAUGAUGACUGUACCUGGAGAAUAAAGCCCCGGCCGUAACUUCGUGCCAGCAGCCGCGGUAAU
rnacentral:rRNA from 1 species